GGAGGGGUGCAAGCGUUAAUCGGAAUUACUGGGCGUAAAGCGCGCGUAGGGGUUGUUAUUUAAGUUGGAUGUGAAAUUCCCGGGGCUUAACCUGGGCAGGUCAUCCAAAACUGGAUAACUAGAGUAUAGUAGAGGGCAGUGGAAUUUCCGGUGUAGCGGUGAAAUGCGUAGAUAUCGGAAGGAACACCAGUGGCGAAGGCGACUGCCUGGACUGAAACUGACACUGAGGUGCGAAAGCGUGGGGAGCGAACAGGAUUAGAUACCCUGGUAGUCCACGCCGUAAACGAUGUCAACUAGCCGUUAGGAUAAUUUAUUAUCUUAGUGGCGCAGCUAACGCGAUAAGUUGACCGCCUGGGGAGUACGGUCGCAAGAUUA
rnacentral:rRNA from 1 species